AUUCCAGCUCCAAUAGCGUAUACUAAAGUUGUUGCAGUUAAAAAGCUCGUAGUUGAAUUUCUGGAUGCGAAAGAUGGUCGGCACCUCACGGUGUCUGUACUUUUCAUUCGCGUCCAUCCUCGGGAGGAACGUGUGGGGCUUUAAGUAGUUCUGCUCGGGAAUCUCGUCAUUUACUGUGAGCAAAAUAGAGUGUUCAAAGCAGGCUUAUGCCGUUGAAUAUAUUAGCAUGGAAUAAUAAGAUACGACUUUGGUCUAUUUUGUUGGUUUGCAUUCCAAAGUAAUGAUUAAUAGGGAUAGUUGGGGGUAUUCGUAUUCAAUUGUCAGAGGUGAAAUUCUUGGAUUUAUGGAAGACGAACUACUGCGAAAGCAUUUACCAAGGAUGUUUUCAUUG
rnacentral:rRNA from 1 species